UAUUAUACUGUGAAGGAGAAAGUAGGUAUAUCAGUAUUUUCUAGAGAAAAAAAGUCAAGGCUGAAAGCUUUUUUAAAAUACCAUAUAUUGAAGUUCGCUCUGGAGUACUACCUGUGAAAUUAUAAUUAGCAGUUAGCGGUAAUGCCGAUAAAUUUUCAAAGAGAAUAUUAUUUAAAUGAUAUUAAUUUGGGUGGUAACGCGGAAUUAGGAAUUCGUCCCUUUA
rnacentral:ncRNA from 1 species